rnacentral:lncRNA from 1 species
CAGACCCGGAUGAGUCCUAGUCCCCGCCACACACAGGUCGUGGGUUCUCCUUUGAGAGUGACCACUGGUUCCUAGAGCUUUUCCUAAACUGGAGACGGAUCCUGCCCUGGGGGUCUCAGUCACCGCGAGGACUCGAGGGUAACUGCCAGAGGUCCCAGGUGGCCCGAGGGGCUAUUUUAAAAUAUUUUCUGUUUCCUUGAUUUCUCCUCCUUUGGAUGUAUUGGGCUUCCUGACUCUUUGAAGAAUCUAUCCAGUGUCUUUAAGGAUAGCAAAACUAAGUGUCAAAAGCACCUUCUGCACACAGUCUGCACACACUGGCCGGUGGUCCUGUUCCCGCAAGGUUGAGCUGUGUUCCAGAGACAUGGGUCCUCCGGGUGAUGAGGAGCCGCUGGAGGGCCCUGAGCUGCACGUGCUAAUGAUUAACGCCCCGUCCGUGCUGGCCGGUUUCUCAAAUGCCUCCUGACGAUUGCGCACAGCCGGACAUCAUUUGUACUGAGAGACAAAAGGAAAUCACUGAGGCUUUCUGAGGUGAGCUGGGCGGCCGC